rnacentral:rRNA from 1 species
GAUGAACGCUGGCGGCGUGCCUAAUACAUGCAAGUCGAGCGAAUGGAUUAAGAGCUUGCUCUUAUGAAGUUAGCGGCGGACGGGUGAGUAACACGUGGGUAACCUGCCCAUAAGACUGAGAUAACUCCGGGAAACCGGGGCUAAUACCGGAUAACAUUUUGAACCGCAUGGUUCGAAAUUGAAAGGCGGCUUCGGCUGUCACUUAUGGAUGGACCCGCGUCGCAUUAGCUAGUUGGUGAGGUAACGGCUCACCAAGGCAGCGAUGCGUAGCCGACCGGAGAGGGUGAUCGGCCACACUGGGACUGAGACACGGCCCAGACUCCUACGGGAGGCAGCAGUAGGGAAUCUUCCGCAAUGGAUGAAAGUCUGACGGAGCAACGCCGCGUGAGUGAUGAAGGCUUUCGGGUCGUAAAACUCUGUUGUUAGGGAAGAACAAGUGCUAGUUGAAUAAGCUGGCACCUUGACGGUACCUAACCAGAAAGCCACGGCUAACUACGUGCCAGCCGCCGCCGUAA